ACGAACGCUGGUGGCAGGCUUAACACAUGCAAGUCGAACGGACAAAAUAGCUAGCUUGCUAGUUAUUUUGUUAGUGGCAAACGGGUGAGUAACGCGUGGGAAUCUACCCAAAAGUACGGAAUAACUACCAGAAAUGGUUGCUAAUACCGUAUAAUAUCUCCGGAUUAAAGAUUUAUCGCUUUUGGAGGAGCCCGCGUUUGAUUAGGUAGUUGGUGAGGUAAUGGCUCACCAAGCCUACGAUCAAUAGCUGGUCUGAGAGGAUGACCAGCCACACUGGAACUUAGACACGGUCCAGACUCCUACGGGAGGCAGCAGUGGGGAAUAUUGGACAAUGGGCGAAAGCCUGAUCCAGCUAUGCCACGUGAGUGACGAAGGCCUUAGGGUUGUAAAGCUCUUUUGACAGGAAAGAUAAUGACGGUACCUGUAGAAAAAGUUCCGGCUAACUCCGU
rnacentral:rRNA from 1 species